rnacentral:rRNA from 1 species
UACGUAGGGUGCAAGCGUUAUCCGGAAUUAUUGGGCGUAAAGAGCUCGUAGGCGGUUUGUCGCGUCUGCUGUGAAAACCGGAGGCUCAACCUCCGGCCUGCAGUGGGUACGGGCAAACUAGAGUGCGGUAGGGGGAGAUUGGAAUUCCUGGUGUAGCGGUGGAAUGCGCAGAUAUCAGGAGGAACACCGAUGGCGAAGGCAGAUCUCUGGGCCGUAACUGACGCUGAGGAGCGAAAGCGUGGGGAGCGAACAGG